rnacentral:rRNA from 1 species
AGUGAACGCUGGCGGUAGGCCUAACACAUGCAAGUCGAACGGCAGCACAGUAAGAGCUUGCUCUUACGGGUGGCGAGUGGCGGACGGGUGAGGAAUACAUCGGAAUCUACUUUUUCGUGGGGGAUAACGUAGGGAAACUUACGCUAAUACCGCAUACGACCUACGGGUGAAAGCAGGGGAUCUUGGGACCUUGCGCGAUUGAAUGAGCCGAUGUCGGAUUAGCUAGUUGGCGGGGUAAAGGCACACCAAGGCGACGAUGCGUAGCUGGUCUGAGAGGAUGAUCAGCCACACUGGAACUGAGACACGGUCCAGACUCCUACGGGAGGCAGCAGUGGGGAAUAUUGGACAAUGGGCGCAAGCCUGAUCCAGCCAUACCGCGUGGGUGAAGAAGGCCUUCGGGUUGUAAAGCCCUUUUGUUGGGAAAGAAAAGCAGCAGGUUAAUCCCCCGCUGUUCUGACGGUACCCAAAGAAUAAGCACCGGCUAACUUCGUG